GACGAACGCUGGCGGCGUGCUUAACACAUGCAAGUCGAACGGAAAGGCCCUGCUUUUGUGGGGUGCUCGAGUGGCGAACGGGUGAGUAACACGUGAGUAACCUGCCCUUGACUUCGGGAUAACUUCAGGAAACUGGGGCUAAUACCGGAUAGGAGCUCCUGCUGCAUGGUGGGGGUUGGAAAGUUUCGGCGGUUGGGGAUGGACUCGCGGCUUAUCAGCUUGUUGGUGGGGUAGUGGCUUACCAAGGCUUUGACGGGUAGCCGGCCUGAGAGGGUGACCGGCCACAUUGGGACUGAGAUACGGCCCAGACUCCUACGGGAGGCAGCAGUGGGGAAUAUUGCACAAUGGGCGGAAGCCUGAUGCAGCAACGCCGCGUGCGGGAUGACGGCCUUCGGGUUGUAAACCGCUUUCGCCUGUGACGAAGCGUGAGUGACGGUAAUGGGUAAAGAAGCACCGGCUAACUACGUGCCAGCAGCCGCGGUGAUACGUAGGGUGCGAGCGUUGUCCGGAUUUAUUGGGCGUAAAGGGCUCGUAGGUGGUUGAUCGCGUCGGAAGUGUAAUCUUGGGGCUUAACCCUGAGCGUGCUUUCGAUACGGGUUGACUUGAGGAAGGUAGGGGAGAAUGGAAUUCCUGGUGGAGCGGUGGAAUGCGCAGAUAUCAGGAGGAACACCAGUGGCGAAGGCGGUUCUCUGGGCCUUUCCUGACGCUGAGGAGCGAAAGCGUGGGGAGCGAACAGGCUUAGAUACCCUGGUAGUCCACGCUGUAAACGGUGGGUACUAGGUGUGGGGUCCAUUCCACGGGUUCCGUGCCGUAGCUAACGCUUUAAGUACCCCGCCUGGGGAGUACGGCCGCAAGGCUAAAACUCAAAGGAAUUGACGGGGCCCCGCACAAGCGGCGGAGCAUGCGGAUUAAUUCGAUGCAACGCGUAGAACCUUACCUGGGUUUGACAUGGAUCGGGAGUGCUCAGAGAUGGGUGUGCCUCUUUUGGGGUCGGUUCACAGGUGGUGCAUGGCUGUCGUCAGCUCGUGUCGUGAGAUGUUGGGUUAAGUCCCGCAACGAGCGCAACCCUUGUUCACUGUUGCCAGCACGUUAUGGUGGGGACUCAGUGGAGACCGCCGGGGUCAACUCGGAGGAAGGUGGGGAUGACGUCAAGUCAUCAUGCCCCUUAUGUCCAGGGCUUCACGCAUGCUACAAUGGCUGGUACAGAGAGUGGCGAGCCUGUGAGGGUGAGCGAAUCUCGGAAAGCCGGUCUCAGUUCGGAUUGGGGUCUGCAACUCGACCUCAUGAAGUCGGAGUCGCCAGUAAUCGCAGAUCAGCAACGCUGCGGUGAAUACGUUCCCGGGGCU
rnacentral:rRNA from 1 species